AGGACGUUGCGACCUGUCAAAUAAUAUCCUAAGUAUUUGGCUAAUUUGUCUGUUUUUAGGCAGUACUGAAAGGUAUUUCCUUUAACAGUUUUAGCCGUUUAGAUACUGGAUAUAAUUGACAGUAACGAAUCAUGGUGUUGAGCCACUUACUUUGUAAGUGUCCUUCAUGGCUGUUUGCAAGUGGGUUGGUUAAUUAGUUUUAGUCGGAUUUCGGUCCGUCUAACUAUUCCGCCUACUGUUGGUAAACUGUUCCUUGGACAGUGCUUAUAACACCGGUCGGCAGCGAUUCAGGUUCAGGCUCUUAUCCGACCCGUCUUGAAACACGGACCAAGGAGUUUAGCGUGUACGCAAGUCAUUGGGUGUAUAAAACCCAAAGGCGCAAUGAAAUUGAAA
rnacentral:rRNA from 1 species